UUGACCUCAAAUCAGGUAGGAUUACCCGCUGAACUUAAGCAUAUCAAUAAGCGGAGGAAAAGAAACUAACGAGGAUUCCCCUAGUAACUGCGAGUGAAGCGGGAAAAGCUCAAAUUUAAAAUCUGACAGUAUUUUGCUGUCCGAGUUGUAACCUAGAGAAGUGUAGCCCGUGCUGGACCGUGUACAAGUCUCCUGGAACGGAGCGUCGGAGAGGGUGAGAAUCCCGUCUUUGACAUGGACUACCAGUGCAUUGUGGUUGUGCUCUCAACGAGUCGAGUUGUUUGGGAAUGCAGCUCUAAAUGGGUGGUAAAUUCCAUCUAAAGCUAAAUAUUGGCGAGAGACCGAUAGCGAACAAGUACCGUGAGGGAAAGAUGAAAAGAACUUUGGAAAGAGAGUUAAACAGUAUGUGAAAUUGUUGAAAGGGAAACGUUUGAAGUCAGACAUGUUGGCUGGGGAUCAAGCUAGCAAUAAUUUGCUGGUUUCACUUCCUGGUUGACAGGCCAACAUCAGUUUUGACCAGCAGAGAAAGGCRAAGGGAAUGUGGCACCUUCGGGUGUGUUAUAGCUCUUGGUCAUAUGUGUUGGUUGGGACUGAGGAAAGCAGCGUGCCGCAAGGCCGGGUUUCGACCACGUUCGCGCUUAGGAUGUUGGCAUAAUGGCUUUAAGCGACCCGUCUUGAAACACGGACCAAGGAGUCUAACAUGCAUGCGAGUGUUUGGGUGGAAAACUCAUUCGCGUAAUGAAAGUGAAAGUUGAGAACCCUGUCGUGGGGAGCAUCGACGCCCGGACCAGAACUUUUGGGACGGAUCUGCGGUAGAGCAUGUAUGUUGGGACCCGAAAGAUGGUGAACUAUGCCYGAAUAGGG
rnacentral:rRNA from 1 species